UACGGAAGGCAGCAGUGGGGAAUAUUGCACAAUGGGCGCAAGCCUGAUGCAGCCAUGCCGCGUGUAUGAAGAAGGCCUUCGGGUUGUAAAGUACUUUCAGUCGUGAGGAAGGUGUUAAGGUUAAUAACCUUAGCAAUUGACGUUAGCGACAGAAGAAGCACCGGCUAACUCCGUGCCAGCAGCCGCGGUAAUACGGAGGGUGCGAGCGUUAAUCGGAAUUACUGGGCGUAAAGGGCACGCAGGCGGUUAAUUAAGUUGGAUGUGAAAUCCCCGGGCUUAACCUGGGAAUGGCAUUCAAGACUGGUUAGCUAGAGUCUUGUAGGGGGGGUAGAAUUCCAUGUGUAGCGGUGAAAUGCGUAGAGAUGUGGAGGAAUACCGGUGGCGAAGGCGGCCCCUGGACAAAGACUGACGCUCAUGUGCGAAAGCGUGGGGAGCAAACAGGGAUUAGAUACCCGU
rnacentral:rRNA from 1 species